rnacentral:rRNA from 1 species
UACGAAGGUCCCAAGCGUUAUCCGGAUUUAUUGGGUUUAAAGGGUGCGUAGGCGGGUUCUUAAGUCAGUGGUGAAAGCCUUCAGCUUAACUGAAGAACUGCCAUUGAUACUGAUGAUCUUGAGUAUGAUUGAGGUGGGCGGAAUGUGUCAUGUAGCGGUGAAAUGCUUAGAUAUGACACAGAACACCGAUUGCGAAGGCAGCUCACUAAGCUAUAACUGACGCUGAUGCACGAAAGCGUGGGGAGCAAACAGG